rnacentral:rRNA from 1 species
GAUGAACGCUGGCGGCGUGCUUAACACAUGCAAGUCGAACGAAGCAUUUAGAACAGAUUACUUCGGUUUGAAGUUCUUUAUGACUGAGUGGCGGACGGGUGAGUAACGCGUGGGUAACCUGCCUUGUACUGGGGGAUAGCAGCUGGAAACGGCUGGUAAUACCGCAUAAGCGCACAAUGUUGCAUGACAUGGUGUGAAAAACUCCGGUGGUAUAAGGUGGACCCGCGUCUGAUUAGCUAGUUGGUGAGAUAACAGCCCACCAAGGCGACGAUCAGUAGCCGACCGGAGAGGGGGACCGGCCACAUUGGGACUGAGACACGGCCCAGACUCCUACGGGAGGCAGCAGUGGGGAAUAUUGCACAAUGGAGGAAAAUCUGAUGCAGCGACGCCGCGUGAGUGAAGAAGUAAUUCGUUAUGUAAAGCUCUAUCAGCAGGGAAGAUAGUGACGGUACCUGACUAAGAAGCUCCGGCUAAAUACGUG